UUGGGAAUCUUGCACAAUGGGCGAAAGCCUGAUGCAGCGACGCCGCGUGGAGGACGAAGUCUCUCGGGAUGUAAACUCCUUUUGCCAGGAACGAUAAUGACGGUACCUGGUGAAUAAGCCCCGGCUAACUACGUGCCAGCAGCCGCGGUAAGACGUAGGGGGCGAGCGUUGUCCGGAUUUACUGGGCGUAAAGAGCGCGUAGGCGGCCUAUUAAGUCAGGUGUGAAAUCUCCAGGGCUCAACCCGGAAACUGCACUUGAUACUGGUAGGCUGGAGUGUCGGAGAGGUGAUUGGAAUUCCUGGUGUAGCGGUGACAUGCAUUGAUAUCAGGAGGAACACCCAUGGCGAAGGCAGAUCACUGGCCGACAACUGACGCUGAGGCGCGAAAGCGUGGGUAGCAAACAGA
rnacentral:rRNA from 1 species